rnacentral:tRNA from 3 species
GGAGAGGUGUCCGAGUCCGGCUUAAGGAGCACGCCUGGAAAGCGUGUAACGGGGUAACUCGUUCGGAGGUUCGAAUCCUCUCCUCUCCGCCA